AUCUGGGCGGCGGAAUUCAGGAUGGCUGGCGUGCCUCGCAGUACGUCGGUCGUUUGAUAUAUCCGUCGCCAACUGAACGCAGACGUCGCGACCUGUUCGCGGUCGGUCCUUGCUCGGAGGAGCCGCGUUCGAGUUCGUUGUGUGCGCGUUUCGGCGUGUCACACGGUGAAGGCGUGGAUCUCUGGCUGACCAUCGGACAGUAUUCGUAACAGUGUCCGGUGUCGUCGUCUCGUACGCGCGGCAUCGGUACUGGUCAGCGACGAAUUCUUCGGGCCUCUUUCCGACCCGUCUUGAAACACGGACCAAGGAGUCUAACAUGCACGCGAGUCGCGGGGUAUCGAGCGUACUUCGGUGCGUUCGUUAUGUUGCGAAACCCGUACAUGUUGAAGGCGUAAUGAAAGUGAAUGGGGAAGAUGGUGUUCCGAGUACACGUUCCGCGAUCGUCGGUAUCGCGGCCGGGCACCCGCAUUCCCAGGCGGUCUCAACGGCCCGUCGUUGAUGCGGACAGUCGUCUCUCGGGGCGGCUGUCGGUCGACGAUGAACCGA
rnacentral:rRNA from 1 species